rnacentral:lncRNA from 1 species
CACAAGCCAAAAAAAAUCUAUUUUCCAAUUUUCUCAGAUUUUAGGCAUUUUCGGUCUUUCUUUUCCUUCAAGAUCUACCACGUCUCUUAAAUUCUGAAACGGUCCAUUAAUUCAUCCGUAACUGUUCACUCAUUCUCUUUAACUUGUCACAUCUCCUUGUAUUCUAACCAACUCGUACCUCUACAUGUGCUGAUGAAUUUCGACGGAUUCUAUUGUUCUUUCUAUUCUAUUCUAUAUUGUAUUCUUUUUUCUUCCUUCUUUCUCUAGCUCUUUCUCUCUUCCUGAUUUUGAAAUUUCGUUGUCCAAUAGGACAUAUAUACACUAAUGUGAAUUUGCUACCAAGUCAAGGUAAUUAUGCUUUACAAUGAUUUUAGUUGUUACUUAAAAUUUUAUCAUAACUUCUUCAAUGAAAAUUUGUCAUUGUGUAAAUUUCUACUGAUGAUUUUUGAUUUUUACGGAAGUAGGUAAGAUAUUUUAGGAUAUAUGUACAUUACUAUGACUCUAUAAGUAAGGAUGUAAUAGCAAUUUGGAUCUCAAUGUGAUCUUUCCCUCUAGCUACUUCUACCUAUUAAUGAUUUAUUCUUUCUAUGUUAUUACUGCUUAUUGACAAUGUUAUCCCUUUCUUAAGAAAAGUGGUUUAUGAUUUAAUUUAUUCCCAUGCUAUUUUUGAUUUAUGUCAUAUUAGUUGGAACUUCUCUCUUCAUUUUCGCUGUAUUGCAUUUAUCAGGUAAUUGAAUCUCACUUCUAAUUUUAUGCUCUGAUGGAGUAUGCGAGAAAAGAGAUUUGGUGUUUAUCUUUACUUUUAUUUAAUUGCAUUUUUUUCUCCUUUGUCCAAAAAGUCUUCACAUUUUUUUCUUUUCAAAUCAAAUUUUGAAUAGAAAUACUGUGCAAGUUAAUUUUCCAAAUUCUAAGGUUUUUGUGCAUUCGUACAGGUCUUGAUAACACUAAAUGAGUUCCUGCUGGGAUUUUACAGAAAGAACGUGGAGUCAGAGCAUGAGAUUUUCAAUUAAGCUUUUACAUAAGGCGACUGGGCAUAUUCUAAGGUCUGCUUCCUUCUGUUGCUUAGCUUUAUCAGAUAAAAUUUGCUGUUGUUAUCAGAUAUAAUUUGCUGCUAGGAUAAGAUGUCAAGGUUUUUCCAUAUAUAUACUGAUGUUUUCUUCAUAUUUAGUAGUAAGAUGAUGAAAAAAUUCAUGAACCAUGUUGCAUUGUAAGAAUUCAAUUGGUUUAACAUCCUCACAUAAAGUAUCAGUUACUACAAAAUAGGUAACCGUUGCUUUUGGAAAACAAUAUGCAGAAACGUUUCAUUUUUAAAGAAUCUAUAGAUGCUGCAUUCUUGCUCACGUAUUUGAAGGCUUCCAAAGCUUUCGAGUAUUAGAUUGGUUUUUGAGACAUUUUCAAUUACUGAGACCAACAAUGUUAAUUAUAUUUGCUUUCUAAUUUCACCUUUCCCCUUAAUUACCUCUUCUGUUAUUAUCUUUUUCCUCUGUUUAGAAAGGAAUAUCUGGACUUUCUUUUCGAUUACUAAUUUAUGGUUGCAUGAGUCUUGAAUUCUUCUUUGUUUUUGUUUUCUUUUGCAGAUGGGAGAGGCGCGUGUUUUUUAUGCUCCAUAUGGAGAUUUUCUGAAGCCAACAAUCUAUGAGGUUAUGUAAUUUACAUAUAACUAAUUCAAUAAUUCGAUGUGAGGUUAUGUGUUUUGGUUAUGCCAGAAGCUUUUAUUGACUUUAUGCCAAUUAGAACCUAAAAUCGGUAUUUACUCAUAUAUUUUUUAUAACGACUCUAUGAAAUUUAAAUUUUUAUGAUACAUCUAAAUAUGCUUUAUUUGCUUUUGUAAUUGUAUUUUUGGAUCUUUUAACAUUUUAAUUUUUGUAUAAUGUGCAGGUUGCCGAGCUAUCGACUAUAUGAAUGAAUGUAACUUUGUUGAAUGGGGCAAGUAGGGUCCUUCCUCAAGACAACCUUUCUUCAUUAAACUGAUUCCCUUCUUUUUGUUUUUUCUUGCGUGAUAAAAAUGUAUAAACAUUUUCCUUUACUUUUCGAGCAUCUUAUGUUAUAUACCUUCAAUUUGGUAUUAGUUUCUUAAAAUAUCUCCUUUAUUAUUA